AUUGAACGCUGGCGGCAGGCCUAACACAUGCAAGUCGAGCGAGCGGCGGACGGGUUUGUAAUGUCUGGGAAACUGCCUGAUGUAGGGGGAUAACUACUGGAAACGGUAGCUAAUACCGCAUCCCCUCCCCUCUUCCCCGGUGGGAUGUGCUAGUAGGUGGGGUAACGGCUCACCUAGUCGACGAUCCCUAGCUGGUUUGAGAGGAUGACCAGCCACACUGGAACUGAGACACGGUCCAUGCUCCUACGGGAGACAGCAUUGGGGAAUAUUGCACAAUGAGCGAAAGCCGGAUACAGCCAUGCCGCGUGGGUGAAGAAGGCCUUCGGGUUGUAAAGCACUUUCAGCGGGGAGGCGUUACCCGCAGAAGAAGCACCGGCUAACUCCGUGCCAGCAGCCGCGGUAAUUC
rnacentral:rRNA from 1 species